rnacentral:tRNA from 1 species
AGUAAGUUAGUAUAGUAAAUACCGUUGACUUAGAAUCAACAAAUAAGGUUAACCCCUUACUUACCA